AUCUAUCUAUCUAUCUAUCUAUCUAUCUAUCUAUCUAUCUAUCUAUCUAAUUAGCAAUGUGUUUCCGAGGUGAAUCGUGGUUCUGGCAGAUAAAAGCACCAAGGAAAAGUAUUUUCCAAGAUUCAUACAGCAGCUUGUUUUCAAUCGUGUUUAUCCAGUGUGGCAGAAAUGAAGGUCACUCUCAACAUGGUUCCAGAAGACCACUUGGCUAACUAUAUAUUCAUAUUCAGAUGUGUUUCCCAGUCUCUACCAAGAAAGAGUAUGCAGGUAAGAU